rnacentral:lncRNA from 1 species
ACACUAGAGCAGGAAGUGGAAGGAAAAACAUCACUGAAGCCAAUGUGAUCAGUGCAAUAUUAAUCCCAGGGAAGCUUUAGGAGCACGGGUACUACUUACUGUGGACGACGGUUGGUCAAGGAAGGCUUUCUGGAGGAGGUGACAGCUAGGCUGGGUCUUAAGGAUGAAUGGGAAGAGAGAGGAGAACAUGUGGAUAAGGCCAGGCAAAAGGGCUGCACAGCCAAGUCACAGCCAAGACGAAAUGCAGGGAGAGUUCUGGAAGCUGCGUGUUUCAUGCUGCUGGGUAGUGUGGAAGGACAGGCUGGAGCUAGGCAGCUAAGCAGCUUGGCAAAUGGAGCUACUGAGGAUUCCAAACAGGACCUCUGCAGUCGUCUCCACUGCUUAUGGGUUGAACCACGUGAAAUAGACAAUAUUCGGCCAUUUAGGGCCAAGACAAAUGCCAGCUUUGCGGGGUGCAGCCUCACAGAGAGGCUGCUUGGGGGCCUUUGCAGAGGGUGGAUGAGCAGAGGGCAUCCUCCGGAACCUGCUUGGGGACCCGGCUCUGAGGCCAUCGGGCCGGUGGUGUCCAGAUUCUCAUGUAGGCUGGGAGAAAGGGGAGGUUCAAGAAACACGGAGGAAGUGAAGCGUCAGAGCCGGGGGGACGGGGUGCCGCAGAGGAGAAGGAGCACUGAGGCUGAGGUCCAGGCUUGCAGACACGUGGACCAUGAGUAUUCUGCCAGGUCUGUGGGUGUCUCUUCUGAGCUACACCAGUUUCCAGGUUACCUGGGACCAUGGAUAACUCUCAGAUCAGCAACUUGUCAGUUGAUUUCCAAGCUGCUGUUGGCUGGACUCAGACUCAGCAGGGAGCACCUGGGCGAGCCCUGUGCUGCGGGCUGGACUCCGGCCCAUCUCGCUGAUUACUCUUGCUUUUGCUCCCCAGUGUGUCCUCAAGAGGUCAGAGCCUGCUUGUUGUUUCUUCAUGACCACGGGAGGAGGGGCACCAACAUGAGGGUGCUAGCAUCUCCCCAGUGGUGGCUUCCCAGGGCUGGGGAAACCCUGGGGGAGGGGUUGGGACAGGGACCUCUGUCGCUUGCUGUCACUGCCUGGGUCAACUGCCUGGCAGGGCUGGCCGCUCGUGCUCAGAAGGCUGAGGCCUUACCUGCCUUCUCCUCUCACCCAGCGCCCAUGUAAGGACACAUCUGAGUUGGCAUUCUGUGUCUGCUCUUGAGCUACUCGCAUGAUAAGUCUUUGUUGUCCUGUGGGAUGUCACCGGUUCAUGCUGAAGAGAAAUUGUAAAGGACUCCUUUGCCUGCUCAGGCCCCAUGGCCUCUGUCAUGUUUUGUCCCCGUCCCUUUGGGAGCACAGCAGCAGUGGGCUGGCUGGACUGUGCAGGCGAGGUUCAAGGAUGAGGUACAGUUGUGUGAAAGGUGAGCCUGCUGGACCGGGGAGCUUUCCUCAAGGCCUCCGCCUGGCUAUGAUGGCGUUAGGGUUGAGGGGAAGCUUCAUCCAAAAUGCACAGUACUUGGAUGUCAAGAUGAUGUUGCUGCUCUCAGGAUGAGUCACUCUCCACCACUGACUUCCUUUGAUGUUCUGAGCUCAGCCUGGAGUCUGACCUGGGACUAUAGCACUUGUUCUCCCAAGGUAAGGCUGGCGGCCAAACCCAGCUGCGCACACCUGAACCUGCUCCUUGGCAGAGAUGAAGGGCGUCAUGUUUCGUAGCCACUCAACACCCAUGGACAAUUUGGCUCCUUGUAAAGACUUAGUCAUGCCUUUGAACUGACUUACUUGAAAUAUAAUUGCUCCUAUUUUGCUCCAAAGACCAGUGGCAUGAUGGGUUAGAGUUAUUUGUAUUUAUUGAGAUUGUUGUAAUUAGCAAUCUCAGGGCUCAGUCUAACUGCAUUAUCCAUGCUGGAAAACUUAAAAAAAAAAUACAGUCCUUCAUCUUCAGUUUUCCAAUGGUCGCCAGUUAUACACAGCUAAUCUUUGCAGUGAAAGUUGUCUUUGGAGAAUGUGCUUUCUUGGUCCCGGGUGGUCCUGGUCUUGGGCUGGAAUCUACGUGAGCUGCUUUGAAGUAAGCUGACAAUACACAAUUAUUAAGGCUAUUUUGACCUGCAAGUAUGGUUUCUUAAAAAGGAACAAUUAAAUACCAUGUAGCAGUUAUUUAGACUUUAGCAUUGACUAAGGAAAGGAGAAAAUGGAAGAAGAACCCCCUCCUGCUUAGAUGCAGUCAUUUUUUAAAAAAAUAAUCUUUUGGGGAAUAAACUUAACCAAGGAGGUGAGGGACUUGUAAACAAAAUGUUAAAACUGCACUGAAGACUAGAAAAUGUUGAUGAAAGCUGUUAAAGAAGACACAAUUAGAUGAUGAAAACACAUCCCAUGUUCAUGGAUUGAAAGACAAUAUUGUUAAGAUGUCAAUACUAUAGAUUCUAUGCAAUCCCUGUCAAAACCCAAUUUUUUUUCAAACAUAGGAAAAUCCAUUCUAAAAUUUACAUGGACUCUCAAGGAACCCUGAGUAGACAAAACAAUCUUGUAAAAGAACAAUGUUGGAGGGCUCACACUUUCUGGUUUCAAAACUACAGUAAUUAAAAAGCUACAGUAAUUAAAACAGCAUGAUAUUGUCACAAAGAUAUAGAAAAAUAGAAUAGAAUAUAAAUCUUGGAAAUAAAUCUUCACAUAUAUAGUCAAAUGAUCUUUGGUGAGGGUGCCAAGACCACUUAAUGGGGAAAGGACAGCCUCUUCAACAAAUGAUUUUGGAAAAAUUAGAUAUUUAUAUGCAAAAGAACGAAGUUGGACCCUAACUUUACACUAUAUACAAAAAUCUACUAAAACUGGAUUAAAGAACUAGCUAUAAUACCAAAAAGUAUAAAAUUUCUAGAAGGAAACAUAGGGGAAAACUUCAUGCAUUGAUUUGGCAUGAUUUUUUGCAUAUGGCAUUAAAAGCACAGGUGACAAAAGCAAAAAUAGAGAAUUGGGACUACAUCAUACUUAAAAACUUCUGUGUAUCAAAGUACACAGUCAACACAGUAAAAAGGCAACCUGCCAGAAUGAGAGAAAAUAUUUGCAAAUUAUGUAUCUGGUGAGGGGUUAAUAUCCAGAAUAUAUAAAGAACAUUUAAAUCUCAGCUACAACAACAAAAUAAGUAACUCAAUUUAAAAGUGGGCAAAGGCCUUGAAUAGACAUUUCUUCAAAGAGGAUAUACAAAUGGCCAAAUAAGCACAUGAAAAGAUGCUCAAUAUCACUAACAUUAGAUAAAUGAAAAUCAAAACCACAAUGAAAUAUCGCCUGACAUCCAUUAGGAUGGCUACAAUAAGAAAAACAAAGUGUCGACAAGGGUGUAGAGAAAUCGAAAACUUAAUGUAAAGUUGGUGAGAAUGUAAAAUGGUGUGGCCACUAUGUAAACCAGUAUGGUCAUUCCUCAAAAAAUUAAAGAUAGAACUAUCAUAGGAUCCAGCAGUGCCACUUCUGGUUACAUACCCAAAGGAAAUAAAAGUAGGAUCUCAAAUAGUGAUUUUUAUACCCACGUUAAUAACAACAGUAUACAAUAGCCAUGUGGUGGAAACGACUCAGACAUCUAUUCUCUUUUUAAAAAAAUUAUUUACUUUUUACUGACACCUAUUAGAUGUACUUAUUUUCAGGGUACAUGUGAUAAUUUGAUACACUCACAUAAUCAAAUUGGGGUAAUGGGGAUAUCCAUUACCUUAAAUAUUUAUCUUUUCUUUAUGCUAAGAACAAUUGCAUUAUUCUCUCCUAGCUAUUUCAAAACAACCGAUUAAUGUUAACUAUAAUCACCCUACUGAUCUAUCAAACACCAUGUCUGAUUUCUUCUAUGUGUAGGUUUAUACCCUUAAUCAGCCUUUGUUUUUCUCCACCCACCUCCCCUACCCUUCCCAGCCUCCAGUAACCACCAACCCAGUCUCUAUCUUCAUGAGGUUCUCUUUUUUAGCCCCUGUGUAUGAGUGAGAACAUGUGAUAUUUGUCUUUCUGUGCUUGGCUUAUUUCACUUAACAUCAUGUUGCUGCAAAUGACAGGAUUUCAUUCUUUUUUAUGGCUGAAUAAUAUUCCAUUGUGUAUUUAUACCUCAUUUUCUUUAUCCAUUCAUCCACAGAUGGACACUUAGGUUGAUCCCAUAUUUUGACUAUUGUGAAUAGUGCUGCAAUAAGCAUGGGAGUGCAGAUUUAAAUAUAUACCCAACAGAGGGAUUGCUGGAUCAUAUGGUGGUUCUACGUUUAGUUUUUUGAGGAACCUCCAUAGUGUUCUCUACCAUGGCUGUGAAAAUUCACAUUCCUGCCAAUGGUGAACAAGGGUUUCCCCUUUCUCCACAUUCUCACCAGCAUCUGUUAUUGGCUGUCUUUUGGAGAAAAAACAUUCUGACUGAGGUGAAGUGAUACUUCACUCUGGUUUUGACUUACAUUUCUCUGAUGAUUAGUGAUGUUGAACAUUUUUUUCCUAUACCUGUUUACCAUGUGUAUGUAUUCUGUCAAGAAAUGUCUGUUCAGAUCUUUUGGCCAUUUUAAAAUCAGAUUAUUUGUUUUUUUGCUAUUUGAGCUCCUUAUAUAUUUUGCUUAUUAAUCCCUUGUCAGAUAAAGAAUUUGCAAAUAUUUUCUGCUAUUCUGUAGGUUGUAUCUUCAUCUUCACUUUGUUGAUUGUUUUGUUUACUGUGUAGAAACUUUUUUUUUUUUUUUUUUUUUUUGAUGGGGGAGACAGUCUUAUGGUGUUGCCCUGGCUGGUCUUGAACUCAUGGCCUCAAGUGAUCCUCCUACCUUGGCCUCCUAAAGCUCUGGGAUUACAGGCAUGAGCCACCAUGCCUGGCCUUGCGCAGAACCUUUUCAUCUUUCGAACUCAUUCUACAAGGCUAGCAUUACCAUGAUACCCAAACCAGAUAAGGAUACAACAACAAAAAAGAAAACUACAGGCCAAGAUCACUGAUGAACAUAGAUGCACAAAUCCUCAACAAAAUACUAGCCAACUGAAUUAAACAGCACAUCAAAAAGAUCAUUCACCAUGAUCAAGUGGGUUUCACCCCAGGGUGCAAGGUUGAUUCUACAUAUGCAAACCAAUAAGUAUUGAAAUGAUCACAUGAUUUUUGUUCUCAGUUCUAUUAAUGUUCUUGAUUCUGUUAAUGUUCUGUUCACAUUGCAGAAAAAGCAUUUGACAAAAUAAUUUCAGUAGCUGCUGAAAAAGCAUUUGAUAAAAUUCAGCAUACCUUUAUGAUACAAAAAACCUUCAAUAAACUGGGUAUAAAAGAAACAUA